CUAACUACGAGCCAUGUCUGUGUACAGCUCGCUGGGUGGAGACUCAUCCUCACUGUGGACUUUCAUCCUGUGCUCAGCUUUGCUCGUCUGGACUCCCGUUCAAGUUAUUCCGACGUCCCGUGAUGGUAAAGGAAGUCCAGAAGUCUUCAGCAGUCAACUCGGUGAGGUGGUUGUGGUGAUUGGUUCAAAUCUUCCAAUCAUUGCUGCUCCGGGUGAUGAUGUCAUCCUGCCGUGUC